rnacentral:lncRNA from 1 species
UCACGAGAUUUAAACAGUUGUUCUUGGAAACAUUAUCGUCGCCAAAGUUGAAGAAGAUUUGAGAGUUAGGGUUUCAUUUGAAGACGAAGACGAUGCUGAUGGUGGUCGGGUCAGGUGUGGGUGGCGGCGUGGCGCUAUGGUUGUCGGAUUUGGUGGGUUAGCCGGAUUUGGGGGUGUACGGUUAUCGGAUUUGGUGGGUCAUGUGUCUAAUAAUUAACCAGAGUAGAGUCGGUUAAACAACAACAGCAACAUGAAGGAGCUGUGAUUCAGUGGGAUAGGUUUUUGCCUCUUAGGUCUCUCAAAGUUCUGCUUGUAGAAGAUGAUGACUCGACUCGUCGUGUUGUCAGCGUGCUGCUGCAUAAUUGCAGCUAUGAAGGUCUGUUGUAACUAUUGUAUUACGGAUAUUAGUUGAGUGUUACUUGUUUAGUGGUCAAUGAACUGAGAAAAAUCGAGAUAGUCUUAUUUUUGAAUGCUUUGUAUGUGAUACUGUCAAUUCCCACAUGCUUUAUAUGUGAUACUGUUGAUUCCCACUUGUAAUUUGAAUGAUACUGUUCUAA